rnacentral:rRNA from 1 species
GCCAACACUGGGACUGAGAACUGCCCAGACUCCUACGGGAGGCUGCAGUCGAGAAUCAUUCGCAAUGGGCGAAAGCCUGACGAUGCGACGCCGUGUGAGCGAUGAAGGCCUUAGGGUCGUAAAGCUCUUUCGCUUGGGAACAAGAGAMGUUGGCUAAUAUCCAGCUAAUUUGAGGGUACCAGGUAAAGAAGCACCGGCUAACUC